rnacentral:rRNA from 1 species
GGGAUAACAGUUAGAAAUGGCUGCUAAUACCGCAUAAGACCACAGCACCGCAUGGUGCAGGGGUAAAAACUCUGGUGGUAUGAGAUGGACCCGCGUCUGAUUAGCUGGUUGGUGGGGUAACGGCCUACCAAGGCGACGAUCAGUAGCCGACCUGAGAGGGUGACCGGCCACAUUGGGACUGAGACACGGCCCAAACCCCUACGGGAGGCAGCAGUGGGGAAUAUUGCACAAUGGGGGAAACCCUGAUGCAGCGACGCCGCGUGAAGGAUGAAGUAUUUCGGUAUGUAAACUUCUAUCAGCAGGGAAGAAAAUGACGGUACCUGACUAAGAAGCCCCGGCUAACUACGUGCCAGCAGCCGCGGUAAUACGUAGGGGGCAAGCGUUAUCCGGAUUUACUGGGUGUAAAGGGAGCGUAGACGGUAUGGCAAGUCUGAUGUGAAAGGCCAGGGCUCAACCCUGGGACUGCAUUGGAAACUGUCGAACUAGAGUGUCGGAGAGGCAAGUGGAAUUCCUAGUGUAGCGGUGAAAUGCGUAGAUAUUAGGAGGAACACCAGUGGCGAAGGCGGCUUGCUGGACGAUGACUGACGUUGAGGCUCGAAAGCGUGGGGAGCAAACAGGAUUAGAUACCCUGGUAGUCCACGCCGUAAACGAUGAC